GACGAACGCUGGCGGCGUGCUUAACACAUGCAAGUCGAGCGAGCGGCGGACGGGUGAGUAAUGUAUGGGGACUGCCCGAUAGAGGGGGAUAACUACUGGAAACGGUAGCUAAUACCGCAUACUAUCGGCUACCCCAUCUGGGAUUAGCUAGUUGGUGAGGUAAUGGCUCACCAAGGCGACGAUCCCUAGCUGGUCUGAGAGGAUGAUCAGCCACACUGGGACUGAGACACGGCCCAGACUCCUACGGAGGCAGCAGUGGGGAAUAUUGGACAAUGGGCGAAAGCCUGAUGCAGCCAUGCCGCGUGUAUGAAGAAGGCCCUAGGGUUGUAAAGUACUUUCAGUCGGGAGGCGUUACCGAAAGAAGAAGCAACGGCUAACUCCGUGCCAGCAGCCGCGGUAAUAC
rnacentral:rRNA from 1 species